rnacentral:rRNA from 1 species
GACGAACGCUGGCGGCGUGCCUAAUACAUGCAAGUAGAACGCACAGUUUAUACCGUAGCUUGCUACACCAUAGACUGUGAGUUGCGAACGGGUGAGUAACGCGUAGGUAACCUGCCUGGUAGCGGGGGAUAACUAUUGGAAACGAUAGCUAAUACCGCAUAAUAUUAAUUAUUGCAUGAUAAUUAAUUGAAAGGUGCAAUUGCACCACUACCAGAUGGACCUGCGUUGUAUUAGCUAGUAGGUGAGGUAACGGCUCACCUAGGCGACGAUACAUAGCCGACCUGAGAGGGUGAUCGGCCACACUGGGACUGAGACACGGCCCAGACUCCUACGGGAGGCAGCAGUAGGGAAUCUUCGGCAAUGGACGAAAGUCUGACCGAGCAACGCCGCGUGAGUGAAGAAGGUUUUCGGAUCGUAAAGCUCUGUUGUAAGAGAAGAACGGGUGUGAGAGUGGAAGGUUCACACUGUGACGGUAUCUUACCAGAAAGAGACGGCUAACUACGUG